ACCCUUUGACUUUGGGGUGCAGUAAAUGCUUUCGUCUUUUUAAUACAUGCUAGUAAAUUGCGAACAGGUGAGUUAAUCCGUUUUACAAAGCGGUUUGUUACCAGGAUUAUUAUUAUCUAGUUAAUAAAAGAAUUCCUAAGACAACAAGAUUUAUCCACAGCUUCACUGAAACAAUGGGAGCCAGCAGGCAGCAGUAUAGAAUAUUGUACAAUUGAUUAUUAUCAGAUACAGAAAGACAAUAAGAGUUGUCGAAUCAGGUGCCAGCAGACGCGGUUAUACCUGAGACUCGAGUUUUACAGAAUAAAAAGGCUCAAAGAGUGUGUAAGAUCUAACCAUCUAAAAAACAUAUAAUUUUGGUACAGAAAUCAAAUCCAAUAAAACGAAACAGAAUCUCAUUUUGUAAGAAAUGUUUUUACGACAGAAACACCAAAUAAUAGACAGCCAAUGGGAUUAGAUACCCCAGUAACCUAUUACCUAAAUUUAGUAAUGCUUCUAAAGCAGUGUUCCGCCUGAGUAGUAUAAUCAAUUGAUUGAAAUUCAAAAAGUCUGGCUGUUUGUUUUCCGAUCAGAGGAUUGUGUAGUUUUAUAUGAUAAUCCGCAGAGUACCUUACCUUUCUUUGAUAACUAGGUGCUGCAUGGUCGUCUUCAGUUUAUGUAUAAUACAUUAAUAAUCUUAACCUUCAAAAGCUGAAGUCAGAUAGUAUGGCCCUAAUAGAAAGGGAUUUAUGCAAUACAAUUUUCUCAGAAAAAAUUAAGUAAACGGAAGAGAUUUGCAAAUUCUCAGAAGUUGAAUUUGACAGUAAUUGAAGACGAUAAAGCUUCAAUGAAUAGGUUCAGACAUUAGUACAAAUUGCCCGUCACCUUUAACAACUUACUCGUUCAAUAGGUUAGAAGUUAAAGCAAGUCGUAACAUAGUGAGGGAAAGGGAACUUUUCCUUGAGACAAACGUUUAAUA
rnacentral:rRNA from 1 species